rnacentral:rRNA from 1 species
AUACUUAGUGGCGGACGGGUGAGUAAUGCUUAGGAAUUUGCCUAGUAGUGGGGGAUAACUUGGGGAAACCCAAGCUAAUACCGCAUACGACCUACGGGUGAAAGGGGGCUUUUAGCUCUCGCUAUUAGAUGAGCCUAAGUCGGAUUAGCUGGUUGGUGGGGUAAAGGCCUACCAAGGCGACGAUCUGUAGCUGGUCUGAGAGGAUGAUCAGCCACACUGGGACUGAGACACGGCCCAG